UCCCUAUCCUCCCUUAGGGAUGGAGAGGAAAGAAGAGCAAAGGCUGUAGCUCUGUCCUACUCCAUCAGAGAUUCUGGGACUGGGAAAAUGACCACCUUCACAUUUCUCCAAUCCUCUGAGGACCCCAGGACCCACGGUAUUGAGAAAAGCUUUGAUGGAGCCGGCUGGUAGAUCUCCACUCCAGAUUUUCCAGCUGUCCCUGUCCCCCCACCGCUCAGAGAGCAGGAUGCUGAGAUGGCUCGGUGAUGCAGAAGGGAAUCAUUCAUGAACCAAUUACAUUAGAAAAACAACCUCGAAUCCUCAGAAGAUCCCUGAAAAGUACAUACUGUUCCAACUUUAGAGAUAAGAAAACUGAGGCUCAGAGAGUGGUGAUACUGGAAACCAAGUCUUGAGGAUGGAACUGCCACAAAAAUGGAAGGAAACUGGACAUCUGAG